AAAGGAAUAGACGGGGGCCCGCACAAGCAGUGGAGUAUGUGGUUUAAUUCGACGCAACGCGAAAAACCUUACCAGGUCUUGACAUCCAACUAACGAGGUAGAGAUACGUUAGGUGCCCUUCGGGGAAAGUUGAGACAGGUGGUGCAUGGUUGUCGUCAGCUCGUGUCGUGAGAUGUUGGGUUAAGUCCCGCAACGAGCGCAACCCUUAUUGUUAGUUGCUACGAAAGAGCACUCUAGCAAGACUGCCGUUGACAAAACGGAGGAAGGUGGGGAUGACGUCAAAUCAUCAUGCCCUUUAUGACCUGGGCUACACACGUACUACAAUGGCGGUAAACAAAGAGGAGCGACGAGGUGACUCUGAGCAAAUCUCCAAAAGCCGUCUCAGUUCAGAUUGCAGGCUGCAACUCGCCUGCAUGAAGUAGGAAUUGCUAGUAAUCGUGAAUCAGCAUGUCACGGUGAAUACGUUCCCGGGCCUUGCACACACCGCCCGU
rnacentral:rRNA from 1 species